AUUAUCAUAACAAUAGUAAGCUUUUGAUGUUGCCCCCCAGCUAUAUGAAGAUUGUGUCUCAACUUCCAACUCGAAUUCUCUGCAAAUUUCAUAACAGUACAGCAAGGUUAAAGAUGUGAGUCCCAAACUUCCAAGAAAGACAUGGCAAGAGGUUAGGAAAUCAGGUUCACAAAACUCGAAUUCUCUGCAAAUUUCAUAACAGUACAGCAAGGUUAAAGAUGUGAGUCCCAAACUUCCAAGAAAGACAUGGCAAGAGGUUAGGAAAUCAGGUUCACAAGAGCUCCAAGAAACAUCAGGCCUGUCACAACGUUACAUCAUAACAAUGAAGAGUUAAGAAAUGUAAAAUCAUGAUAAAAUAUAAAGUAAGCAUGCAGAA
rnacentral:lncRNA from 1 species